rnacentral:rRNA from 1 species
AACGAACGCUGGCGGCAUGCCUAACACAUGCAAGUCGAACGAGACCUUCCGGUCUUUUGGCGCACCGGUGCGGAACGCGUGGGAAGCUGCACUUAGGUUCGGAAUAACUCCCCGAGGGGGGUCCUAAUACCAGAUGAUGUCUUCCGACCAAAGAUUUAUCGCCUUUGGAUGGGCGCGCGUUGGAUUAGCUGGUUGGUAGGGUAAAAGCCUACCAACGCGACGAUCCAUAGCUGGUCUGAGAGGAUGCUCAGCCACACUGGGACUGAGACACGGCCCAGACUCCUACGGGAGGCAGCAGUGGGGAAUAUUGGACAAUGGGCGAAAGCCUGAUCCAGCAAUGCCGGGUGAGUGAUGAAGGCCUUAGGGUUGUAAAGCUCUUUUACCCGGGAUGAUAAUGACAGUACCGGGAGAAUAAGCUCCGGCUAACUCCGUG